UGGAGAAACCAAGCCAGUCUUCCUCUCAUACAGACCAGGAAUAAAUCCAGAAUUUGCCACUUAAACCAAGUUUUGUCUUUUACAAAUCUUGCUUGGAAGAGAGACAGAGAGACAUGAUGUGACUAUCUUAUGGCCCCUCCAGAAUGGGAAGUGCCAUUUGGGAGUGGGGAUCCUACAGAAGCUCACCUAAAAACAUCAGAAGAAGAAGGAAGCGUUCUGAGAAAUUUGGUUGUCGCUAUCUAAGACUAUAAAUAGGCUUUUAGGAAGCCUGAAAGCUCCUAUAGUUUUACUUGUUAUUUUAAAAUGUUAAUGUCAUUUUAGAGCUCAUGAAAGACAUGAGAUUGCUGGUAAAGACCUGUCUAGCCACAUAUAGGAUCAGCAAGAAAUUCAGGUUCUUCCAUCCCAUUCAACCUUGCCAUAGAAGAAAGACCAGCUCAUGACGGCUUGCUCCAGCUAUUUGGAGAGACUCAGUGACCACACAGAUCACUUGGAAGCUGUUAACGCUGAUUGGAUGGAGUGUGGCCCUGUGCGAGGCUUUCCUACUGUGUGCCAUGUUGGCCCUCGCCACAGCCUCUAAAUGGGAGCAGGAGCCUGGCGUUGAGGAUGGUGAUGGCAAACAGGCUGACACGGGGAGGAUAAAAGAAAUUACUUCUGAGAAGGAGCUUGCUGCAAUCUAUCCCUGGUGCUUCCCAAUAUACAAUAGUGGCUUCAUCCCUGCCCCAUCACACUUCACAUGCACAGGGUUAAAUACAUCUGCUUGCAAAGUUGGCAGUGACCUUUUCCCACUUGUAUUUCUAGAGGGCAAAGUUGGCACUGGCCUAUGCUCACUUAUGUUUCUAGAGGCCUGGGUGCCAAGAAUUAUGCCCUUUGCCUAAAGAAGCUUUGCAAACCAUCCCUGUACGCUUGAGGUACAAGGAGAGUUUGCCUUGUCCAACCCUGCAGAAAGGCAGAAGAGCUUGGAAACUGUGAGUCCACAUUCCAGCCCCAAAUCUCCAGCCAUGCAACUCCCAUACAAUGAGAUGUGGCACAGUGCUUUGCUGGGUAGCUGCAGGGACAGUGGGGUGAAACAUGUACUGUGUGUGCAUGCUGCUUUUCCAGCAGUCCAACUGCUUCCUGAUAAACUGCACCAAGCAAUGUUGCUGUAGACAGCAAUAUCUAGCCCUUGGAAUGGUUUCAGUCAAGCCACACUUAUCUGUCAGCACGUGUGAGGAGAAAGGUGGGUGGAAGAAAAAAGUCAGAGCCGGCACAGCAGCAAAUAUUGACACAAAACAAUAGCAAAACAUUAUUGUAAAACCCACACAAAUGAACGGGUGAGUCUGUGGAUAAGCACAGCCCAGGCGAGUGCUUCAGAAUCAUGCAUUAAUGUUAUGCUUCCAGGGCUAAAGAAUGCACUUGGAGAAACACAGCCUGCGUAAGCACUGCAUGCAGAAACUGUGACGAGGGAAAUUCAGCAACAGGGAUUUGAGACAUGCAAAUUCUAGCAUGGGGCUGAGUUGAGCAACUAUGCACUUGCAGGUUUCUAACAACUAGGUCUGAAAAGAGGAAAAGGAGAAAAAGAAAAAGCACCUUGCUAGUUCUUUCACGUCACUGUGCACACGAGAACAGCUCACCGGGCUUCACCUGACUUCCUGUCUUCGUAGUCUGGAGAAUGCUGUGAGAUGCUACGGGUGUCUGCCCGUGAGGCAGCUCGGAACUGGCUCCACAAGCACUGUGUUUACCAGAGAAAACAGUAAAAAUCUCUGCUCGGUUCACUGCACACUGCACAAGCCAAAUGGCAAAGAGAUGUAUUUUUUUUUACUGUGCUCGGAAGUAAAUGGCAGUGCCAACACAUACAAAUAUGCGUCUGUUACUAAUGAGGUGUUUACAGCCCCUGCCUUGCCAAUUGCAUGUGUGUAAUACCUCAGCCCAUCUUCACCUCCAGGGCUCUGGGCAGGAGACAAUAAGUGCAAAUUAACGUAUGGACAUGCAUUAUCUCCUCCAGCUUGGACAAGGACUGGAAACCUCUUUAAGUAUUUUUAAAUGCCACAGCUCGCUACCAGGGCUUUAAAAUCCCUUCUCCCACCUCUUUGCUGAUGGUUAAAAUGUUCUGGGGACAGGACAAGAUGUUUAUAAUGGCAGGACAUUUCACUCUGCACUUUGUUUUAGCGUGUGGGGGGAAUAAUAAUUGUAUUCAGACUUGAAAUGGCUUGGGUUACGCAGUUCAGAGCACAAGCACCUGCAGCAAAUUAAUUUGUUGUAGCACAUUUAUUAUCUCAUAGCUUCUCUUUAGGCUGC